rnacentral:rRNA from 1 species
UAGUUGCCAGCGGGUAAUGCCGGGAACUCUAAGGGGACUGCCGGUGUCAAACCGGAGGAAGGUGGAGAUGACGUCAAGUCCUCAUGGCCUUUAUGCCCAGGGCCACACACGUGCUACAAUGGGAUGGACAAAGCGAACCGAUGCCGCGAGGCGGAGGAAAUCGCACAAAUCAUCCCCCAGUUCAGAUCGGAGGCUGCAACCCGCCUCCGUGAAGUUGGAAUCGCUAGUAAUCGCGGAUCAGCCACGCCGCGGUGAAUGUGUUCCUGAGCCUUGUACACACCGCCCGUCAAGUCAUGGGAGCCGGGAAUGGCCGAAGUCGCCUCACCACAGAGGUGCCUAAGCCAGGCUCGGUGACUGGGACUAAGUCGUAACAAGGUAGCCGUAGGGGAACCUGCGGCUGGAUCACCUCCUUUCUAAGG